rnacentral:rRNA from 1 species
UGGGGAAUAUUGGACAAUGGGCGCAAGCCUGAUCCAGCAAUGCCGCGUGUGUGAAGAAGGCCUUAGGGUUGUAAAGCACUUUCAAUUGGGAAGAAAAGCAUGAGGUUAAUACCCUUGUGUCUUGACGGUACCUUUACAAGAAGCACCGGCUAACUCCGUGCCAGCAGCCGCGGUAAUACGGAGGGUGCAAGCGUUAAUCGGAAUCACUGGGCGUAAAGCGCACGCAGGCGGUUUGUUAAGUCAGAUGUGAAAGCCCCGGGCUCAACCUGGGAACUGCAUUUGAUACUGGCAAGCUAGAGUAUGGUAGAGAGAAGUGGAAUUCCACAUGUAGCGGUGAAAUGCGUAGAGAUGUGGAGGAACAUCAGUGGCGAAGGCGACUUCUUGGACCAAUACUGACGCUCAGGUGCGAAAGCGUGGGGAGCAAACAGGAUUAGAUACCCCCGUAGUCC